rnacentral:rRNA from 1 species
AAAUAAAAGAUUAAUAAAAAUAAAAUAAUAAAAAUAAUUUUAAUAUAAAAUAUGAAAAUGGGGGUUUAAGUAUUUUAUAGAAAAAAUAAAAAAUUUUAUAGGUAAAUAGUAUUGUAAAAGAAAUUUGAAAUAUAUUAAAAUUAAUUUAUUUAAAAGUAAAUUUAAAUUGUUGUAUCUUGUGUAUCAGAGUUUAUUAAAAAAUUUAUAAAUUUUUAUUAAUUUCGAAUUUAAAAGAGAUAAUUAAUUAAAAAAGUUAAUGUAGUAUAAUUAUUUUAAAUAAUUAAUUUGAAAUGAAAUGUUAAUCGUUUUUAAAAAUAUCUAAUUUUUUUAGAAAAAAAUUUAAUUUUGAAAUUUUUAUUUGUUUAUAUGAAUUAAUAAAUAUAAAUAAUAAAAAUUUAAAUAUUUUAAGGGAUAAGCUUUAAAUUAAAUUUUUAUAAUUAAAAAUAAAUUAUUUAAAAUUUUUAAAAUUUAUAUUGUUUAAAAAUUAAAAUUUAUUAUAAAAAAUUUUAAAAUAAAUAAAAUUUUAUUAAAUUUAAUUUUUUAUAAAAAAAUAUUAAUAAAUAAAAAAUUAAUAGAAAUAAUGAUAAAAUUAGUAUAAUAACAAUUAAAAUAAUAAAUUUAUAAUAAAGUAAUAUAAAAGAAUUCGGCAAAUAUAUAUAUUCACUUGUUUAUCAAAAACAUGUCUUUUUGAUAAUAAUUUAAAGUCUAAUCUGCCCACUGAUAAUAUUAAAGGGCUGCAGUAUUUUGACUGUACAAAGGUAGCAUAAUCAAUAGUCUUUUAAUUGAAGACUUGUAUGAAAGAUUGAAUGAAAUAUAAACUGUUUCUAUAUUAAAUUUAAAACUUAAUUUUUUAGUUAAAAAGCUAAAAUAAUUUUAAAAGACGAGAAGACCCUAUAGAGUUUUAUAAUUUAAUUAAUUUUUAUAAAAUAUAAAUAAUUUAAAUAAAAAUUAUUUAAAUUAUUUUAUUGGGGUGAUAAAAAAAUUAAAUAAACUUUUUAUAAUAUUUUACAUAAAUAAUUGAAUAAAUGAUCCAUAAAUUAUGAUUAAAAGAUUAAAUUACCUUAGGGAUAACAGCGUAAUAUUUUUUUUUAGUUCAGAUAAAAAAAAAAGUUUGCGACCUCGAUGUUGGAUUAAGAUAAAAAUUAAACGCAAAAGUUUAAAUUUUUGAUCUGUUCGAUCAUUAAAAUCUUACAUGAUCUGAGUUCAAACCGGUGUAAGCCAGGUUGGUUUCUAUCUUUAAAUAACUAAAAUAUUUUAGUACGAAAGGAUUAAAUAUUUAAAAUAAUUUUAACAAAAGAAUAUUAAUAAUAAAAUUAUA